GACGCAUAUGAUAUACGUCACCACACCCGCACUUGGAACUCGGUACAGAGAUGGCGAUCUUUCUGCUCCACUUCACCACUUUUUUUCAAGGCGAGGAUAAUGCAUAGAAAGAGGUGAAAACCACUAUAAGUUGGGGCAUGUGGAGAGUUUUAGUUAUGUGCCAUCUCUAUGUGCCAUCUCUGUGCCUCAAGCUUUUCUUGUGGAUUUGAGUUCAAAUCUUUUUGAGUGUGAAAUCCUUCUAGAGUUCAAAGGACCCUAUCGGUGGGAAAUAUAUUUGACAUAUUGAACGAUUUCUGUAGAGAACAUAAUUGGUCAUUACGGUUGGA